GAAUUUUGGACAAUGGGCGCAAGCCUGAUCCAGCCAUGCCGCGUGAGUGAAGAAGGCCUUCGGGUUGUAAAGCUCUUUCGGCAGGAACGAAAUGGUCCGUGCUAAUACCACGGAUCGAUGACGGUACCUGACGAAGAAGCCCCGGCUAACUACGUGCCAGCAGCCGCGGUAAUACGUAGGGUGCAGGCGUUAAUCGGAAUUACUGGGCGUAAAGCGUGCGCAGGCGGUUUCUUAAGUCAGAUGUGAAAGCCCCGGGCUUAACCUGGGAACUGCGUUUGAAACUGGGAGACUUGAGUGUGGCAGAGGGGGGUGGAAUUCCACGUGUAGCAGUGAAAUGCGUAGAUAUGUGGAGGAACACCAAUGGCGAAGGCAGCCCCCUGGGUCAACACUGACGCUCAUGCACGAAAGCGUGGGGAGCAAACAGG
rnacentral:rRNA from 1 species